UUACAUUUUAUAACCUCCAUUUGCACUCUAUAAUCUAUUUAUGCGCUUCUUAUUGACCAAAGAAACACUUUAAAUUUUGUUGAGUAUAUUAUAAUGAGGUAAAAUUAUUGUAAGAGGCUGU